CGAUUUAUCCCCUAUCCGUAAGGGCAAGCUCAAACAAGUACUGGAAAGUGGGCGCCGAUGGAUCAUAUACUACAGGCUUCUCAGAAUACACUGUUUAUACAAUUUGCAAUUAUAAGAUAAAGUUAUUACUAUGGAUAUUAGGGAGACAAUGAAAUUGUACCUCAAGCUGAAAACCAUAGUUACUAUAAACAUAGUAAUUUACAACUCCUCAACAGAAUAUGCCACUUCACUCGUUGUACAUUGGAUAUCUUAGCAGCGGUUAGACACUAAAGCAGACUCUUCUCCUCUCCUACACAAUAAAUCACAGACAAGAAUGAUGGAAAUAGGUCAAUGACAAAACUGAUUUUGAUGUACUAAUGUCACUUACUCGCUGUACAGUUGUUGGGCUGAACUGUGGCCGGAGCUCUAGUCGUUGGGACACCAGUCGGUGCAUUCGUUACACCUGAGGUGCGGCACUGCACCCCUACGUCCUCACUGUGGCCACAGUUAGUGUUGC